GAUAAACCACAAAUUCAUCUUCUUCCAUGCUUUGUGAUAAAAGAAUUGGGCCCUGAAACUUUCUUCUUUGCCACCCAGCAAGAUGUUCAUCCUUGUCAAUAGAGGAUGCUGAAGGGAGACUUGGGGAGAAAGGAGUUUUCUUUUUUUGGUUCAGGCGUGGCUCUCUUGCCAGACUCCAGCAGAGAGUGUUUUCUCUAUUGCUUGGCCCACAGUUUCUCCCGUGCUCAGUUCCUAAGGAAUGCUCCUUUCUCCAGUAUUUGGCUGCAGUGCAAUCCUUCCAGCUCUCUACUCAAGCAGUGGUGGUAUACCUGGGAGCCCAAGAGCAUGCAGGCUGGUGCCCCAGCCCAGGUCACUGUUCCAAACCUCAGGAACGUACAUGCCCAGGACUGCAUAAGGCUGGGCAUCUAGCAAGCUGGCCACCUGACUUUUAUCCCUGCAAAUGUCCUAGAGAUACUCUGGUCCAAUCCAAGCACAAAAGUGAACUAAACGCUGCAGAAGAAAGCCCCUCCAGCACCCAGUUCCACAAGUGCUCAGCAGCCCACAGCUUCCCUCAGCACCUAGAAAGUUCUGAGGCUCCAAAAUUUCCUGCAGUCAGCCUUCUCCAACAUCCCCGAGGAAGACUUCAGGAGUCUGGCGGAUAAUGUGCUCCACCUGACCAACAAAAGGAAAAUAGCGUAUUCAAGAAGCAAGAAAUUCAACAAAGGAGUGAAUUAGAGGGAAUUCACAUCCUGCCUCCAGGUGAUGUUGAUAGGAGACUCAGGUUAACUACUAUGUUAGAGCAGGAAGAUGGAGGGCAAGAAGAACAUAGCUAAAAAAAACCCCAAAUCUGAUAGAUUAUGUAUUGUGUUUGAAGAUGUCAAGAGGGUAUGAAUAACUGAUUGAUCCACAGAAAAGUAAACAAAAAUAAUAGCUAUCAAUUCCAAGGAUAGUCAACACUGUAUGACAAAAGGACAUAAAAUAAAAUUAUGCCACAUGGCUCUGUGGUGACUAAUAUUUACAGUCAGAAUGCUGUCUACAGUAAUGAGCUAAUCAUAAUAUAUUGGGAUGAUGGAAGGAGGGGUGUAAGAGAGAUAAACCUUCACCUCUUCAUAACAGAAAGCCAUAGGUAAUGCAUAAAACUGAAAAAGAAAAUCAAGAAAUGGAAGUACGAGCAUUUUCUGUAAUGAUGAUAAAUACCAGAAGAAAUAACUAAAAGUAAAAUAAUUUUGCAAAGGGCAUAACGAUACCAUUGCAAUUCCCUGCCUGAUCCAUUCCCAUCUCCAGUGUCUUCUUCCCAGAGGAAACUACUUUCACUCUUUUAGCUAUUUCAUUUGGUAUUUACCACCAUAUUUCUAAAAGUAAAGAUUAAUUUUUUAAAGAAACAGACUGUAGUAUAUCUACCUAUCAUAGGCUCUAUUUCAUGGUAAGUAGCUGCUACUAGUUGCAUGUUGUUGUUAUUGUCGUUGUUAAAUGAAGAAAACUAAGUUGUGUUAUGAGCAUUGGAAUGCAUCAGGAGACACACCAUUAGAAUGGUCAAAUAUUUCAAAGUGCUGCCUAAGGAGCCCUUGGCACUCAUAGGCAGCAACGUGGACUUUUUUGUACUACAUGUCCCUAUGCAGACACAGAGAUAUAAUUAACAGAAAGGGAAAAGGAAAGGGGAGUGAGAAAGUUGAAGAGUCUGAAUGUUAUUUCAACUUAAUAAGAUCAAUAAACUAGAAUUGUCCUCUUACAAGAGAAGAAAUACCUUGGCACCCCACAGUAUUUCAAAUAUGUCAGAGGAUAAUAGUUAAUACCUACAUAGAACUUACUAUUGGUCAAGCAUACUACUCAAGAAGAGGCAUACAUUAUUUCCAUCAAUACUGAUGACAACACUAUGGGAUAAAUAUACUGUUUUUUAUUUCCCACUUUACAGAUGAGGAAACUGAGGAGCAGAUUAAGUAAUUUGGCCAAGAUUAUGCAAUUAGUAAAUGAAGAGCCUGGUCUCAAACCCAUAUAACACAGCUCUGUGAUCCUUGCUUUUUAUCAUUAAUCCAUGAAAUGGGAUCCAUAUAGAACCAAGCUCAGGUCUAUGUCUUUUUCUGCUAUUAGACUCUGGUAGGGGAAAGUUAGGCAGGGAAGGAUAAACUGGAACUCUGUGUCAGAGGAGGUUUCUCUGUGUUGGUGAUGCUGUCAGGUAGAGGGAGGAGGUAAGUAAAAUGAGCUGAUUGUUAGCAAAUAUGCAUUUGAGGUUACUACUGUGCCCACAGCCUACCCUGGACCCACAGUUAACAUAUUAAUGGUAUAUGCUGUAUGUAUAUAUACUCCUCCCAUAAGCCUAAACACAGCCUCCCAGAAUGGGAACCCUCUGUGGGAUGAAGGGGAGAGAAAAUGACAUCAGUCAGGAGUAAGAAGUACACUUAUUUUCUGCUCAAGAGUAGGAAAGGGUCUGCCAAGGGAGAGGGUGUUUUAGAGCCAACCAUGGCCGUGCUAAUGCACCCCACUCAUGGAAAAGUUAGAGGAAGAGAAGGACAAAUCACAGAACCCUAGAUCAAAAGUGCUCUGAAGAAAAGAUAUUUCUUAACUCUCCCGAGCUUUAAUUAUGUUUAAAAAAGAAAAAUUAAACAAAUUUAAAAGAAAUGAAAACAUUAUCAAGAAUCUGAUUAUUAGGGACUGGAGAAGGGAAGACUUGCUGCAAAUGGGUUCAGAUAUUAUACAUUAUCAGUAAAACUGUUUCAAAGCUUGAGUGCAUCCUAAUCCCCACCUAAGGAGACUAGAACAUGUUCUCAGAUUUCCUGGAGAGUGACUUAAGAGCACAUAAUAUAUACCCUUUGGAAUAUAAGCAAGACCAGUUCGUAAAGUAUCUCAUUGCAGAGCAGCUUAAAUUCCUGCUCCUUCCCAGCUGUGCUCAGACACUUGGCUGCCAGCAGAGAGAAAAGACAGAGCUCCCCAGAGACCCACAGAGUCAGUGUGCUUUGCUGCAGGGAGUUUAGCUUUCAAGGAAGAGAUAACUAUUAACCCUUUGCUUGGUGACUGUACACAUCUACAUGCAAAAUGAAUUAUAUUUCAUACAAGAAUUUGCUUUUCCUAGUUCCUGAAUCUGAUGUCGUCUAGGAACAUUGAUUCCCUUAGAGAUAUAUGUGGGCCCUACUUUGG
rnacentral:lncRNA from 10 species